UCCACCUUUGUCCAUGAGUAU
ensembl:piRNA 21ur-4295 ncRNA